AGCGAACGCUGGCGGCAGGCCUAACACAUGCAAGUCGAGCGCCCAGCAAUGGGAGCGGCAGACGGGAGAGUAACACGUGGGAACGUGCCCUUUGGUUCGGGAUAACUCAGGGAAACUUGAGCUAAUACCGGAUAAGCCCUUACGGGGAAAGAUUUAUUGCCAAAGGAGCGGCCCGCGUCCGAUUAGCUAGUUGGUGAGGUAAUGGCUCACCAAGGCGACGAUCGGUAGCUGGUCUGAGAGGAUGACCAGCCUCAUUGGGACUGAGACACGGCCCAAACUCCUACGGGAGGCAGCAGUGGGGAAUAUUGGACAAUGGGGGAAACCCUGAUCCAGCCAUGCCGCGUGAGUGAUGAAGGCCUUAGGGUUGUAAAGCUCUUUUAGCAGGGAAGAUAAUGACGGUACCUGCAGAAAAAGCCCCGGCUAACUUCGUGCCAGCAGCCGCAGUAAAAC
rnacentral:rRNA from 1 species